rnacentral:RNase_P_RNA from 1 species
UACGGUAGCAUGAACGCUUUUAGUUUAUGAGGAAAGUCCGAGCAUCAUAGAGCAGAAUAGCUGUUAACGACAGCCGAGGGCGACCUUAGGGCUAGUGCAACAGAAAUAAACUACCUUCUUUUAGGUACAGGUGGAAAGGCGAGGUAAAAGCUCACCAGAGUGUAUGAGAGUACACUGCUAUGUAAACCCUAUUUGAUGCAACGUCUAUUGGUGCAAUCUAUUUUAACGUCUGCUCGGCGUAUAGAUUGUAAUGACGGCUUUAACCAUACGGCAACAUAUGGUAUAGAUAAAUUACCGUACACGACAGAACUCGGCUUAUCGGUCUAGUC